rnacentral:rRNA from 1 species
AAGCGAGUCCGAAUAGGGCGGUCCAGUCGCGUGUCCUAGACCCGAAGCGGAGUGAUCUAGCCAUGGGCAGGGUGAAGCAGCAGUAAGAUGUUGUGGAGGCCCGCACCCACUUCAGUUGAAAAUGGAGGGGAUGACCUGUGGUUAGGGGUGAAAGGCCAAUCAAACUCUGUGAUAGCUGGUUCUCCCCGAAAUGCAUUUAGGUGCAGCGUUGCGUGGUUCUUGCCGGAGGUAGAGCUACUGGAUGGUUGAUGGGCCCCACCGGGUUACUGACGUCAACUAAACUCCGAAUGCCGGUAAGGUUCAGCGUGGCAGUGAGACAGUGGGGGAUAAGCUUCAUUGUCGAGAGGGAAACAGCCCAGACCAUCAACUAAGGCCCCUAAGCGUGUGCUGAGUGGGAAAGGAUGUUCAGUUGCGAAGACAACCAGGAGGUUGGCUUAGAAGC